rnacentral:piRNA from 1 species
UCCAACUUGCCAUCCUGCCUCGGGGUCUGA